CCGGGCGGGUCGGGCGCGAGGGGCGGGGAGGGGUCGGCCGCGGCCGCCCGGGCGGGCGGGCCGGCCGUGCCCGGAGCGCCGCCACUGCAGUGGCUCCGUGCAAAGUCAUUGCACCAGCUCCGGGCGGACACGCCAAGCCGGCGCUGCUGGCCUGGGCCCGGGCCCCGGGCUUCCCGGCUCGAGGGGGAGGGGACCUGCCAGCCGCGCCGGGCCGGGCUUCGGCCUCCAGGUCGCGGGCGUGCCGCGCUCCCGCGGGGGGCAGAGCUGCCCCCAAGGAGCGCCCUGCUGCAUUGUGCGUCCGGAACGGCGGGCCGCGCCGCCCGGUGCAGGGAGGGAGGGGUCGCAGCUCUCGGGGCCGAGAUCGGGGGACGGCCCUGGAAGUUCCCCAGGUGCAGAAAGCCCCGCGGGGCAGCCGGCCUGCCUCUUUUUGUCUCACGGAGCCGCCCCGGUUCUCUGACUGCAGCGGGGAGCUUGGCGUGUGAAAUUCUCCAGGAGGUUAAAUAGCACCGGGGUGGGGGUGGGGGUCCUGACGGCGGCCUGGGCGGUGGGGGACUCCCGCGUGCUUGCGGACUUUUUGGGAGGACAGAUGAUUACAGGACCAUGGAUAGGGGACCGGCCCCGACUGGGGAGCCUGGAGCGUUUUUCUGGAUUCCGAAGCUGUUAGGCAAACAUCAGAGUCCCAUAUGGCACUGGGGUGCGGCUGGUGGCUGUCGCAGUUUUUAGACAACAAAGGGGCUUGUCAUCCUAAACCUGAAACCCUGCACCCAGGUUGGUGUGGUAGCUUGUCCACGCCCCCUCCCCGUGUGACUAACUGUCAGUGGUCACACACACCUCCAUCGCACACCCUCUCGUCCUCACCUCCACCCCUGCCCUCCGUGUGAAACGGGAACCCGGCACCCGGCCGGCCUGCGCUGUCUGAUCUCACAGGCUCCACUUGAGAAGUUAAUCUGGGUUUCUCUCACGCCGGGAGACAAAGACCACGGAGGAGCAGCUCCGAGCCCCACUGCACGGGGCUCUGUGAGGACGGCUGGGCGGGGACAAGGCCCCUCGCCUGCCAGCGCUUUCCUGGUGGCAGAAGUGACUGCUGAUCCCAGCAGGGUCUUUCUCUCGCUAAUGCGCAUGCACCCACAGGCCCAAAUCCACACACAGGCCCGGGCCUCCCCUCAGAAAUGCAAAUCAGGCAGCCGUCUCCGACUGGGUAUACGUUCAUUUGCAGAAGUCUUUGGAAAAUACUGCUUUUAGCCAGGGAUGCAUGUUUAAAAAAAUGUGCGGGUGCUCCGUGCACGCCCUCAUUGUCUUGCGGGCAGGUGCUGACUGCUGUCCCCGGGAGGUGGUCACCUCCGGUCCUCUCUGGAGGCUGGUGACUUUCGGGAUGCAGCUCACUUGACUCCAGCAUCUGCCCGGCACCCAGGAGGCAGCUGUUUAUCAGUUGCCGCUCCUGCCCAACUUGACUUUGGUGGUUAACUUUGUUUACAGCCACGCUAGGUGCGCCUCCCUCACCAUGUGUAAUUAUACCAAGUUUGCCUUAAGAUGCCUAUUUAGGGAGUCAAGUGAGGAUGACUUGCAGGCACCACUCGAGUAGGUUUUAAGACGGCCCUCGUGUGACUCGCCUGGAAUCAUUCAACUCCGUUUUGCCGCCCCGGUGGUGGUGGUUUCUUUGCCGUCAUGGCUUUUGGACUUAGCAGAAGCCCAGGGCGCAGGGACCCCUCGGAAGUGAGUGCAGUGUCCGGAUCUUUUGAGGGCCUGGAGAUAGGUCCAGCGGUUGGCACAGACGACCUUGGUCCACUGCAGGUCUCCUUGCAGCACUGUGGACUAGGGAGAUGUUCCUCUCAUCUCCUGUUCUUCUAGAUUCCGUCACGGCGAUGGCCCGCUGUGGAGACCAUCAGACCAAGGCUAGGAUUUGGUUCUGGUGCCUGCCCCGGCAGUAAUCCAGUGAUGAGAUUUAGAGCCCAGUUAUCAGUAGAAUAGCAUGGGGCACACUGGGUUCUAGUCCCAGUCGGGGUGCCGGAUUCUGUCCCGGUUGCCCCUCUUCCAGGCCAGCUCUCUGCUGUGGCCAGGGAGGGCAGUGGAGGAUGGCCCAGGUGCUUGGGCCCUGCGCCCCAUGGGAGACCAGGAGAAGCACCUGGCUCCUGCCAUCUGAUCAGCGUGGUGCGCCGGCCGCGGCGGCCAUUGGAGGGUGAACCAACGGCAAAGGAAGACCUUUCUGUCUCUCUCACUGUCCACUCUGCCUGUCAAAAAAAAAAAAAAAAGAAUAGCAUGGGGUGGCAUUGAGGAACUUUGCCUUUUUUGAUAGUGUGGAGUGAACUUUGCCUUUUUUGAUAGUGUCCCUUUAGUGUGGAGUGUUUCUGAGGCUGUGGAGGAUUUUUUUUUGUAGUUUUCAUGUUGAGUUGGAGGGCAGUGAGUGAGUUUGCAGUGAACAAGUUUACAAGGAGAGAGAGAAACUGGGCAGCAAGUCCUGCCCUCACCCCGCCACCUCUGCGCAAGUGAGCAGUGCAAAUAAAGGAGUUCUUACAGCAGCCCAAAUGGAGUUCCUUUGGAACUGGACGGAAGAGAGUGACCGGGGCCUCUGAGGUGGGCCCGCCUGUCCGCAGCCUGCUGGUGCCUUCAGCGCGCUGGCCAUUUACCCUUGAAACUUGAGGGGGCGUACCCGUCCCCGCCAGCGGUCAUCCGUUGCAUACAUUGUGGAGUGGAGCCCAGAUGCGGGCAGCCUCUCCUCUCCUGAACACCGGCGGGCCUGUGGCUCUUCCUGGCCCCCGUGGGAGGAGCCAGGACUGCAGCCUCCUUGUGUUUGCCCGUCCUGCCUGUGUUUGCCCGUCCUGCCUGUGUUUGCCCGUCCUGCCUGUGUUUGCCCGUCCUGCCUGUGUUUGCGCGUUCUCCCAGCCCCCCUGUGUUGUCUUUUGCUGAGAGCUGCCCCGGCACUGCGGGUGUCCGGGUUUGAGACACAAAGCCUCCAACCUGAAGCCGUGUGUGAUCACCCUGCUUUUAUGAGGCUGCCUAAGAAGCAGCCCAGUGACAGGUCCCUCAGGAAUUGGCUUUUUAGUUUAUUUUUGGCUCCUACUUAGGCCAGCAUUUCCAUGGGGAAAGCUUUCAAGGUGCAGCAGCGUCACACAGCACGUGAAGUUCGACUCGCUUGUCGGGGUGCCGGGCCCAUUAGAAGCAGUUGUUCCCAGUGAUGUGACAGGAAGAAGUUAUGUAAGGUGGACGGAUGCAGGACCAAGUGCAUUCUAUUCAGAUGGGAUCCCAGCGCCUGGGGAUUCCGGCAGCGCUGGCAUUUUACUUUCUGCCCCUCGGCUUUUCCGCUUCUAACUAACUCCUGGGCCUCAGCGCCGGAGAGCGUCUCUGUCCAGAUGCUGCCUGGCUCAGGGCCACUCUGACCAGACAAGGGUGCGUUUUGUUUUGUCCUGGGAUUGGAGUCAGACGUGUGGGUGCCCUCCUCGGCUGGCACCUAACUCUGCACGACCUUGGCCCAGUCACUGCCUCGUUUUCUCUGUCUGCGGUGAAAGACAAGGCCGUCGUUCUAGCCCUGAACUGAGCUCACACAGAGGGACUAGCCAGGAGCGAAGCUCGGGACACCGUUCUGAUGCCUGUGCACUGGGCCGGCCCUGUCCCUUCACGAGGUCACGUCUGUGCUCACAGGGCGGUGUAGGCUGGGGGAGGCCAGAGUGGUCGGGAGCUUGUCCUGAGGCCUGGGCACGGCUCGCUGGUGACCAGAUGGGUUCCCGGCUGUAUUAAGCCCGGCUUACUCCUGAAUUUCUUAACGGAAGUCACACCCAGCCUCCAGGGGUUGGGACGCAGAGUCUGGAAGAGGUCUUUUGAAAUCCCCAAAGGGCAGGUAGUGAGCGGAUGCAUAAGAGCGUGGUGGCCCAUCACCUUUGUAGUUCGAGAUACUAAGCACAGCAGGUGCUGUUUACUGCUGACUGUGCUUACUGUGGGCCUCACACAGUCUUCCCCUGUUAGGAGCUGGGAGCCCUUGGCUCAGAGGAGGAAGUUGAGGGGCAGAGGGGCGGUUACUUGCCCAGCGUCUCGGUGCUGGUGAGUGGAGGAACCUGGGUGCAGACUCACGUCAACGAGGUUUCCUCUCACCUGAGGAUGUUUAAGUGCAGGGUUCAGACCACUCCUAGGCCUGGCGGGGUACCCUGGCUGGAGGGCUUUCUGGGGUAGGAGGUGGCUGCAGGUGGGGAGGGAGGGAGGUGCAGGACGUGGGUGGGGCCCUGCCUUUCUAUUUGUGCUGUGUCUCUGGCCUUGGACACCUUCUUCCCCACGCUCCGCCAUUCUCAGAGUGGCUGCCACGACACGUCUCUGGGGAGCCCCUGGUGCCCGGGGUGGGAUGCCAGCGGCCUCUGUCACACGAGGCAUCUCAGCGCUGGUUUUACCGCCCACCCCGCCUCCUGGAGCAAGCCCAGUGCCUCUGUGUUCCUGGAUUGUCUUAGAGGUGAUCAGUGUUUGGAACUCCGACUUGACCUCCUCUCCCCUGGCUGCUGUCAUCCUGCUGGUGCUGAGUCACGAGGCAGGUUCGGCCGCUCCGGGAGGGAGCCCAGUCCCGCCUCGGACCCAGGUCCCCAGCAAGAGCCCCCCUGUGGUCCUGUCGGGGACCAGGGGGAUUCUUCUGGCUCCUAGGCCAGAUGAGGGGCUAAGGUGAAAGGUCUUUUUGGGCCUUCCCCACCCCCGCUGCACUGUUACCGCUGUUCGUUUUCCUGUUGUAUCAAGAGGGUUUGACCCACUGUUGAGACUCAUGGAAUCCAAUGGAACCUGUUCAGGGCCGACACCACAGCAGUGCUGGGCACAUGGUUGGGUCAGCUGCCCAGGGGUCCCUCUGUGGCUCGCUCUGUGCUCCCCUUUGUGGUUGGUAGAAGCCCUCGGAAUUCCCUGCUCAGUACGUGGAGGGUGCUGAUUGGCGUUGGAUGACCAGGGGGGACGUAGCACCGGGAGCGUUGGACAGUGCUUUCCAGGUUGCAGGGUGCUGUCGCCUCUUUGACUUACGGGGACCCUGGCGUUCCGACCAUGGCUCCUUCCUGGGGCUCCACUUGGCUGCUCGGUAGUGCGGCCAGCCCUGGGGCCUGUUAGGAAGCACCUGACGCGUGUGGUCGCAGACAGGGAAGAGCAAGGUGCUGAGUGGAACUUCUUGUAGCUCAGAAUAAAUUGAAUCAUGCUAAUGGCUCACCCCUGGAUUCAUCUGCUCCAAGGUUAUGUGUCCUUGUUUUGCUGUUUGCGGCAUUCUGCAGUCGGGGAUCUCACAUCCCUCACCCAGGCUGUGUUGCGUGAAUCUUGGGGUCACCCAGAGGGCCCCCCCGCCCCCACACAAAUGUGGUGGUCUUCUGGAGCAGGAUGUGAAAAGCACAUUUUUAUUAUUUACACACUGCAGGCAGGUGGGCCUCCACUCAGAAGUAUUCUGCUAACAGUAAGUCUUAAAAUGAAUGUCCUUUUUGGAUUAAAUCUGAUUUGGGGGAAUUUCAGUUUGUAUAUUUUGAGAGACUGAAGAAGCAUUUAAUAUUCUGCAGCUAGCUCAAAGGGUGUGACACUUGGUAGGUCACUUUUGGUUUAGAUUGAUAACGGAGCUAUAUUUGGGAAACAGUCUGACUAUGACAAUUUAAAGCUUAAAAAAAAAAAAAAUUAAGACACUGAGUCAUGCUUGCAAAAAGAAGCAGUCGGUGCUGCCCGACAGCGAUGCAGAGCCCGGCCGGCCCUGUGGAGAUGCCUGCAGAGCCCGCUGGCCCUGGGGAGGUGCCUGCAGAGCUCGCCGGCCCUGUGGAGGGGCCUGCAGAGCCCGCCGGCCCUGUGGAGGUGCCUGCAGAGCCGGCCGGCCCUGUGGAGGGGCCUGCAGAGCCCGCCGGCCCUGUGGAGAUGCCUGCCGAGCCGGCUGGCCCUGGUGCAAAGCAGCCUUCAUUUGCAUCCCGCAGGUGAGGCGGGUCUUCCUCCUUGCUUCCCUCCCCGCCCCCACCGCGUGUGGGAGCUGCUGCGGGGGCGGGGCCGCUGAGGCUAGAGGUGGGCCACCUGCAGGACUUGGCUGCGGUCCCUGUACCUGCAGGUGGCGAGCACCCAGGAGUGUCCCCGUAGCUGUCUGCUGCUGUUGAGUUGCUCAGGGGAGUGAGGCCCCUGAGGUUGAGGACAUCGUCUUCAAGGCAGAGAAGGGAGCGUCUUUCCUGGCGUCUUUCCUGGCGAGGGGCCCAGCACCCCUGCUGCUGCAGGUGCCCGCCUGCCUGAGCGUCUGCCUGAGCCUCCUCCUGAUCUGCGCGUCCCUUUAGCCUUUUGCAGUCUGGCCUCACACACGCGCCGUGGUGGCUCCCUUGAAGGUCACAGGUGGCUAGGGAAUUCCUGGUCAUGCGUCUGCUGGCAUUUUUUGACCUCUCAGUCUUACUUCACAGGGCUGACCCUUGCUGGAGUUCUGUUGUAGCAGACUAUACCGGCUUUUCCUCCUCUUCUCUUCUCGCGUCGACCAGGGUGUGAGACUUUUCCAAGGACCCGAGCUCUCCUGUCCUGUCCUCACCUCUCCCCACCCACUUGUUUUUUAGCGCAGUGAGGUAGCUCCCGGGUCCGCUUCACAAUCCCAGGGGCCACCCACAACCUCAGACUCCGCGGUGUGAAAUCUUGGGACUGUCACUGCCCUCCCCACCCCCCACCCCCGACUUUUUAAUACGUGCAGACGUACCGCAGCCCUGAGAGACGGCCAGCGAUCGCUGAUGGCCGUGGUGAGUCAGCAGCUGCUAACAUUCUGCACGCGGGCCUUAUCUGUGCGUGUGUGAAAAUGUGUUUCCCCAAGCCCUUGGUAAGCCAGGAGUAGGCGUGGUGACGCCUCACCUCGUGCUGUAGCUUGCAUCUUGUUUUUAAAAGAUUUAUUUAUUUAUUUGAAAGGCAACAGCAGUGGUGCGUGGAGGAGGUGUCUUCCUUCUGCUGGGUCACUCCCCAGAUGGCUGCAACACCUGGGGCUGGGCCACGCUAAAGCCAGGAGCCAGGAGCUCCACCCAGGUCUCCCACGGGGGUGGCAGGGGCCCAAGCACGUGGGCCGUCCUCUGCCGCUUUCCCGGGCACGUUGGCAGGGAGCUGGGUCAGAAGGGGAGCGUCUGGAGCUCAAACUGGCACUCGUACGGCUGCUGGCAAUGCAAGCAGUGGCUUAGCCCAUCGUGCCACAGUGCCAGACUCCCGCUCACAUCUUUUAAAGCUGGAGCAUUCAGCUGCCUGUGGCCUCCAUUCCAGCCUGUCCUCAGUUCUUCGUUAGAAGUGGUGCCUCUUGCAGCCUCUGCUUGAAUUUCCUCUCUGCAGCCCUGGUCUGCUCACUGCCUGGACUGCCCUCGCCGCCUCUGGCCUCCCUCCCCUUGGGCUGUGUCGCGACCCAGUCUCCUGUCAAGCCUGAGGUUGUCACUGAAGGCCCCUCUCCUGCAGGUCCCGCUCUGUCUACCUCAUCAGCCCGCUGCCAGCAGCCGGACUGCCUGUUCAGUUCGCCCCUGCUGUUUUGGGAGCCUCUCGAGAAGCAGCCACUCCCAAGUGCGUGCUGCGACUGAUGGAGAGCUCGGCGACCACUUAGCGACUGACGGAGUUCACCCUCACUUACCUGUGAAGGCCUCCGGCUUGUGCUGGAGCUGUGUGGGCCCCUGCCGGCCAGCUCAGCCCCACCCCAACCCCUCUGCAGCGCUCAUGCUGGGUGACUAGACCAUGUAACUUAUUGCCCACGCUGGGUCCUUUGAGAGCUGAAAAAUUAUUCUGGAGAGGCAGAUACGGACAUUCUAACACUAAGAAGCACAGACUCGUCAACGUACCCCGUGCUGUGGUUCACACUGGCAACUUCCUUCAGAGGGCGCCCAGGUGGGGCACCUGCCGGGUGGGCCAGGGUAGAGCUGGCCUCACCUGUGGCUGGAAGGCAGCAGGAGCCUCAGCAGUAGCGGAACUGACUGGUGGCCCAGGCUGGGUUGAGGAGAGGCUGUACUCUACGAAGCAGUGAAAAGUCUCCCAGCUUGUUGUUGCCGCUCCGGCUCUCCCUGCCAGCCUUGGCACCGUGGCUCUGAGCAAACUAGAGGAAGCACCCAUGUAACAUUCAGAGACUGCCGAGUCCGAGUGCCGUCGGUGACUCCGGGCCCUGGGUGGGAGCACCCUCUCUUCACAGCCCCGCUUUCCCAGCUUGUCAAGGGGACGUGAUCCUGCCUGUCCUCUGAGCGGCUGUAGUCACCCGAGAGCACCUGGCGGGUGCAGGUUCCCACACAUGGGUUUCCAGAACUCACCAAGAGUGCGAAUGGGUGUUAGCAUGAGGCUGCGGCGCUGGCGAUGAGCCUGUGGCCCAGCAGGCCUUCGUGCUCUGCCUGCAUUGCGACUGGGCCCUGUGAGAGUGACUGCGCAGCCUGGAGUGGCAGGGGUUGUGCCAGGCCUGUUGGUUUGAAGGCAUCAGAGACCAUCUAUUAAAAAUUCAUAAGCCACGCCCUGUUUGUUGGUUAAGGGAAUGGGAACAUAAAUAGCAGUGUUUCCCCAAGGCCAGCCGCGUGCUGUCUCCCGGGGCCUCCGGCAGUGCAGCCUGGUCUGGAUGGCCCUCCAGGUCCUCUGAAAACCCUGUUGAGGGGCCGGUGUUGUGGCAGCAGGUUAAGCCACCACUUGCGAUGCCCACGUCCCAUAUCAGAGCGCCGAUUCGAGUCCCGGCUGCUCCACUUCCAUCCAGCUUCCUGCUGAUGCACCUGGGAAGGUAGCAGAAGGUGACCCAAAUGUUUGGGCCCCCUGCACCCAUGUGGGAGACCAGGAUGGAGUUCCAGGCUCCUGGUUGUGACCGUUUAGGGAGUGAACCAGCGGAAACCCUUUCCCUUUCUCUCUGUCACUCUGCCUUUCAAAUAAUAAGUUAAUUAAAAAAAAAAAACCUAUCAAUGUCAGAAGGUUCAGUUGCCUUUUUUUUAAAAAAAGACUGAUUUAUUUGAAAGAGUUACAGAGAGAGGGAAACACAGGGAGGGGUCUUCCAUCCCCUGGUUCAUCCCCAAGUGGCUGCAAUGGCCAGAGCAGAGCAGGCUUAAGCCAGGAGCCAGGAGCUUCAUCCAGGUCUCACGUGGGUGGCAGGAGCCCAAGCACUUGGGCCAUUUUCUGCUGCUUUUCCUAAGCCAUUAUUAGCAGAGAGCUGGAUCAGAAGUGACACCUCCAGGACAGGAACCAGUGCCCAUAAGGGAUGCUCGUCUCACAGGCGGUCGCUUUACCUGCUGUGCCACAAUGCCAGCCCCGUCACUCUGCCAUUCAAACAAAUCUUUAAAAAAAAAAAAAAAAGGCAGCAAGACACAGAGAAAGAGGCAAGAAACAGCUCCUGACCCCUGGUACACUGACCACGUGUUUGCAGCGACUGGAGCUGGAGCCAGGAGCCAGGAGCUCAGUCCUGCUUCCCACGUAGGGGGCGGGGACCCCAACACUUGAGCGUCACCGCUGCCUCCCAGGGUCUGGUGAGCAGGAAGAUGGAGUCAGGAGUUGGAAGCAGGACUUGAACCCAGGCACUCUGGCAUGAGAUCUGGGUGUCUCAACCAGCAUCUUUUUUUGUUUGGAAGGCAGAGUUACAGAGACAAAGAAGAGACAGAGAUCCUUCAUCUACUGGUUCACUCCUCAAAUGGCCGUGAUGUCUGGGGCUGGGCCAGGCCAAAGCUAAGAGCUUGGAACUACAUCCAAGUCUCCCACAUAGGUGGCAGGGGCCCGAGUACUUGGGUCACCCUCUGCUGCUUUCCCAGGUGCACCAGCAGGGAGUUGGAUCCAAAGUAGAGCAACCAGGACUCGAACCUGUGUAUGUAUGGGAUGCCAGCAUCGCAGGUGGCAGCUUGACCUGCUGGGCCACAAUGCAGGCCUCUCAGCCAGUAUCUUUUUUUUUUUUUUUUAAUAUUUAUUUAUGUACUUAUUUGAAAGGCAGAGUUAGAAGCAGAGGCAUCUGUGGUUCACUCCCCCAGAUGGCUGUCAUGGCCAGAGCUGGGCCGAUCUGAAGCCAGUAGCCAGUAGUUUCCUCUGGGUCUCCCAUGCAUGUGCAGGGGCCUAAGGACUUGGGCCAUCCUCCACUGCUUUCCCAGGCCAUAGCAGAGAGUGAAAUCAGAAGUAGAGCAGCCGGGACCAGAACCAGAACCCAUAUGGGAUGCCCGCACUGCAGAUGGCAGCUUUACCCGCUAUGCCACAGUGCCGGCUUGGUCAACCAGUAUCUUAACUGGUAAACCAAAUACCCACUCCCAGUGCCCCACUUUAGAGAGGGAGAGACAGACCCAGCGAGUGCCUGUAGCUGUCCUGAGGCCUGUUUGUGCUGUCAAAGCACAGAUUCUUCUCGCUGGCUGCAUGGCAGCCCUGCACCGGGCCAGGGCUGUGGGGAGCAGGGCCUCCCGGGUCGGGGGCUGCAGGCUUUCUGGAGAGAUCCGGGUGGUGUUUAGGGUUCACAGGCUACACUGACCCUUUUGUAGCUGCUCAGCUUUGCCGUUGCAGCGUGAAAGCAUGGCUGUGUUCCAAUGAACCUGUAUUCUGAAAACCAGGCAGCGAGCUGGAGGUGGCCCAGAGGCUCUAGAAGGGUCUCGGCCGAUAGGGAGAAACGUGAGCCGCACUGGAACAGGCGGGAACGGCCGACGUUCACGUUCACGCAUCGGCUUGACCCGGUGCACUGAGAACACCGUGUCUGCAGGUAGUCGGUAGGAAAGUGGUGAAGGGGACAGAGCACGUCCUGACCCAGCGGCUGCCCUCGUGGACAGCCGUGCGCCUGGAGCGACUGGGCGGCAGGAGCUCUGGCCCCUGCCCCCGCUCAGCGGUGUUUCUAAACUGCACCUUGCAGUUUUGAGAUGGAAUCACUUCCUGUCCUGUCUGCUCUCUCCCCGGCCGGGAAGUGAGCGCAGCUCGGGACACCUUGUUCUCCGCUUUGCCCUCCGUUUCUGGGCCUAGAGUAGGUGCUUUGUUUCAUGAGUGAAUGAGUUACCACUGGGAGGUGGCGAGGGCCUCCUGGUGAAGUUGGCGCCGAGUUCUGAGGGAGGGCGGUGGGCAGUGUGGGGAGAGCCUCGUGGAGGCGGCCUAGAGGAUCAGCUGGCGCAGCAGAGUGGGAGGGCGGGGCAGGCACAGUGCAUUCCAGCUCCUGCAGCUGAAACACUGCUAGGACCCCGGUGAGCUUUUUCAUGCUGGGUCUUCCCUGUGAACAUUUGCCACAUAGGAGAUUAAACCGAUUUUAAAAUCCGAGAGCGCUCAGGCACGUGUUCGAUUAGCCGUCAGAGCAACGGCGUCAGCACGCGUCCUGCAGGCUCCAGAAAAUCCCGCUGUAGACUUGAGCGGGUGAGAGUCGGGGAGGCAAGAGCGGUCGAGUGCCACUGUGGGUGUGGACUCCCGAAAGGGUCUCUCUCCGGGAUCUCCGGGCCAUGUUUUGAGAGCUGCUGAGCUAGAGGUAGGAGGGAGAAGACAGGAGCAAGUGCCGGUCUGCAGGGUUGGGUCUGACGGCCACUAAUGGUCAUGGUGCGCAGGUGUUGUGCACCCGCUGUGUUCCGGGCACCUCGGGCAGCACUGUGGGCAGCACUGUGUGUUCAGGUUUAAGCCUCACCUGCAGCACCUGUGAAUUUGGUGGUGGUGGUUUACAGGUGUAGGGAGGUCUGAGGCUGUGCUGGGUCACACAGAGGGGAGGGAAGGGGCUAAGCCCCCGCAGUGCCCCCAGAGCCUCGUGCUCGGCUGCCCUGGAAAGAUGUGGCAUCAGGCGUGGUGUGCAGGAUGACAGGGAUGACGGGGCUGGGAGUUGGGAUUUGUGGGUUUGUAGAGCGAGGCUCCCUCCAGAGUGUGCAGAGGACGGUCUGGUGGCAGUCCCCAGGUGGGGAGGCGAGCUGGUCACAUGUCUGGUCACAUGUCCAUGCACAGCAUGAGGUGUGGAAAUAGAACUAAUUUUUUUCAGGGUUAUUCAUUUGAAAGGCAGAGUUUGAGAGAGGGAGAUUGAGAUUGAGAUCUUUCGUCUGCUGGUUCACUCCCCAGAUGGCUGCAUCCACUAGGACUGAGCCAGGCCAAAGCCAAGAGCCAGGAGCUCCGUCUGGAUCUGCCUUAUGGGUGCAGGCACUCCAGCACUCAGGCCGUCUUCAUGCCUUCUCAGGCGCGUUAGCGUCGAGCUGCAUCAGAAGUGGGACAGCAGGGACCUGAGCUGGCGUUGCAGGCUGCUGGCGUGGUGAGCAGCUGCUCCACGCAGUGCUGGUGCUGGUCCUGAAGUGCUGAUUCUAAACAAAAUGGCUCUUCCCUGUGAGCCCACACCUUCCUCCAGCCUUCCGUGGAAGAGAGCGAUGCAUUCCAGUGCGAGCGGGAAAAUCACCUGUAUUGGAUUUAACGGAUUUUUCAAGGAUGAUUUUGAUGAUGUUGAGUUUGACCUUAGGACCGAACCCCCGGUAAAAUGAGGACUCUUGGCUCUAAAAGGGCAGCAGUAAAGCUCUGGUUAGAGUGGUGGAGAGAGAGGAAAAGGGGCGUUUAGGUGGGGCUGGCACACGGCAGAGCCGGGUGCACUUGGGGGAGGCAGGGCAGGAGAGUGGGCAGUGCUGUGCUGGGACUUUUCCAUCAGCAGGAGGGAAUGAACCGUUCAGGUGUCUGUCUGCUGUGGUGGACACAUAGCAGAACUGACCAUUUCAGCCAUUUCUACGUGAACAGCUCAGUGGUGCUCAGCACAUUUGGCAGCCAUCGCCACCAUCCAGAACCGGACGGAAGCUGUGCACCUGUCAAACACUGACUCCCCAGGCCGUUACAGUUUAUGUUGCUCUUAGCAAAGUGACAGGAGUUCACUGGAGACAUUCACCUGCAUAGGGGGAUGAGAACCAGAGGUGCAGCCGGGACGCCGGCGUCUCGUGUACACAGUCCUGCUGCCAGUAGCCGUGUGAACAGAACGGGGCUAAGGGUGCUAUGGCAGGAAUACUGGUCCCCGCCCCCGUGUCGGGUUAGUCCCCAAGGUCCUCUGUUAAUGGUAUUAAGAGGGCAGAAACUUGAUCCAGCUUUGGAGUUGAGAGGCGGGGCUCUGGAAAGUGAUUAGGUCAGGGCAGGUCAUUUAGGGUGGGGCCCCGGGCCUGGAUCCCAUUGGAGGAGGAGAAACAUCAUAGGGACAUGGGAACACCUGCACCCCAACCUUGAUGUGGCGUGGCCAGGGGAAGCCCUUGCCGGAACCUACGUCAUGCGGAUUGGACCUUGUACUUCCGCGACCGUGGGCCGGUAUGAACCUGUUUUCUUUGUAAGAUAGCCUGCAUCAGGUAUUUCAGUGUAGUAACAGUCAGGAACCUGGGUGGGCGUUGUGGUGCAGCGGGUUUAGCUGCUGUGUGGGUGCCCGCAGUCCACAUCAGAAUGCUGAUAGAGUGCCCCGUGCUGGUUUCCUGCUUCCAGUCCACCUUGCUGUUCGUGCAUACCCUGGGAGGCAGCAGAUGAUGGCUUAAGUCCUUGGGUCCCUACCAGCCAUGUGGAAGACCCAGAUGGAGUUCCAGGCCCUUGGCUUCAGGCUGGCUCACUCUGCCUUUCAAAUAACUUUUCAAAUGUUUGUUUUCAUUUUAUUUGAGAGGUGGUGCGACAGAGAGAGCUUCUAGCAUUAGACAGCUGGAUCGGAAGUAGAGGAGUCGGGUCUCAGCCCAGGCAUCUGACGCGCGUGCACGUGUCCCAGGUGGCAGCCUCACCUCGCCACACACCUGCCCUCACUGUGUUUUGAAAUAGACCUGACCUCUUUUAGAUUUGUAGAAGAGUUGUAAAGAUCGUACAGAAAGUCACCUAACAUCUUGUAUGCUGGGUGUAUUGAUAAGAAGAAAUUAACACGGUCCCACACUAUUAACUAGACACUUAAAAAAAAAAAAAGAUUUAUUUAUGCAUUUGAGAGGCAGAGAGAGAGAGAGAGAUCUUUCAUCUGCUGGUUCACUCCCAGACGGCCGCAACGGCUGGAGCUGAGCCGAUCCAAAACCAGGAGCCAGGAGCUUCUUCCCAGCUCCUACGUAGGUGCAGAGGCCCAAGGAUUCAGGCCAUCUUCUGCUGCUUUCCCAGGCCAUAGCAGAGAGCUUGAUCAGAAGUGGAGCAGCCGAUUCACCCAUAUGGGAUGCCGGCACUACAGGCGGUGGCUUUACCCACUAUGCCACAGCAUCAGCCCCUAACUAUACACUUUUAUUGGGAUUAGCUUUCUACUUAUGUUCUAUUUCUGAAACCAGCAGCCAGGUGCUUUAUCCAGGUUCCCACAUGGUUGGCAGGGGCCCAAGUGCUUGAGCCAUCACCUGCUCCCUCCCAGGAUGCAUUGCCAUCACCUGCUCCCUCCCAGGGUGCAUUUGUAGGAAGCUGGAUUGGAAGAAGGGUAGGUGGGGCUUGAACCAGCUCUGAUGUGGGACACCCACAUGUUGAGUGGCGACUUACCCUGCUGUGCCCAAACACCGCCCUACUGGCUUCGUCUCGACUUUGGGUGCCUUUGCCUGUCAUCCCGGAGAGUGGCGCCAGUUGGCGUGUCCAUCGUGGGAUGCUGCUCUCCCUGCACGGGGUGGCAGUAUGUGCUGAUGCUGAAAGGCUGGGCCUUCAUCUGGCUCUGCCCCGCCCUGCCGCCCGUGGCCUCCCUGGGCUUUGCAGGGAGACUGGUCUGGGUGUGCCCUUUGCUCAGGGGAUGCAGUGCUGGGUAGGGGCUGGACCAGAGGAUGUUCAGUGAGCCAGGAGAGGCAGGUGGUGGCUCAGAUCUGGGGUGGAGUGGAUAUGUAGACAGGACUAGAAAAGACCGAAUCUCUUCUCUUUUCUUUCUUUCUUUCUUUCUCUCUCUCUUUUUUUUUUUUUUUUUUUUUUUUAGAUUUGUUUAUUUGGGGCCAUCGUUGCACAGUAGGUUAAUCCAGUGAACCAGUGUAUGGAAGACCUCUCUCUCUCUGUAACUCUCUCUCUCAAAUAAAUAAAUAAAUCUUAGAGAGAGAGAGAGAGAUUUAUUUAUUUAUUUGAAAGGCGUUACAGAGAGGGAGAAGUAGAGGCAGAGAAGUCUUCCAUCUGCUGGUUGACUCCCCAGAUGGCCACAACAGCCAGGGCUAGGCCAGGAUGAAGCCAGGAGCUUCUUGCAUGACUCCCUUAUGGGUGCAGGGGCCCAGGCACUUGGGCUAUUCUCCGCUGCCUUCUCGGGCACAUCAAUAGGGAGCUGGAUUGGAAGUGGAGCAGCUGGGACUGGAACCAGUGCCCAUAUUGGAUGCUGGCAUUGCAGAUGGCGGUUUAACCCACUCCUCCACAGCGCUGACCCCAGACAGAAUCUCAUACGGUUAUUGGAUAGUGAACUAGGUCACCUGUGAGCGACAUUCAGCACAGCCCGGCUCUGCCUCCGUUUCCCCGUCGUGGUUAGCAGCUCACACAACACAUGAUUCCAGGUUUAGGGGGGCUAUUCCUGUUAGUUUGCAAACCUGAAGGCUGAUUUUAAAUUCAUAUUUAUUUAAGUAGAUUAUAUGUGCAAAUGACAUAGCAUUCAAAAGACUUAAAAGGCUAUGAAGGGUCCUCAAAAUCUCUUGAAAAUGUGUAUUAUAAAAGCAUGGAUUUCGAAAAUUUUUUUCCACCAAAAUCAACUUCUCUUCUUAAUCUGUUUUUCCACGAACUUGUUGACAGAUGCCCAUAGACAGUGAAGUAUUUGUCUCCUUCCUACCACGUCCACUUCCCAUCACUGUGACCAGAUACAUUCUUUGCAAAUUCUAGCACACACGUGUGUACAGUCGCUGUAGAUCGAAUUGAUGUGAAUAGUGGCUUCUGAGGCCAGCGAGCCUGGCUUUGCAGUCCAGCCUUUCUCUGCCUCAGCGCAUGCGGCUGUGCGGCCUCCAUUGGUGCCACAUUCCCUCAGCUGUGGCCCUCCUGCCUGCCUGUUGGGGGGCAUUUAAGGUCACUCUGGGGAGAGACCAGCUCUGCCUCUGGGGACAGGGCAGGGAUCCUCGUUCCUCUCUCAGGGCAGGGACCCCUCGUUCCUCUCUUAGGGCGGGGUUUUCUCAGCAGCCAGAAGGGGUCAGUGAUGGCUGGAGACUCCGAGGUAUUAGAGUCGAAACAGACAUGUGAGGGCACAGAAGGCUUUUUUUCUUUUAAUAUUUAUUUAUUUAUUUGAAAGGGAGAGUUACAGAGAGGCAGAGGCAGAGAGAGAGAGAGAGAGAGAGGUCUUCCAUCCACUGGUUCACUCCCCAAACAACCGCAGUGGCCAGAGCUGGGCUGAUCUGAAGCCAGGAGCCAGGAGCUUCCUGCAGGUGCAGGGGCCCAAGCACUCGGGCCAUCCUCCACUGCUUUCCCUGGCCACAGCAGAGAGCUGGAUGGGAAGUGGUGCAGCCGGGACUCAGCAGGCAGUGGCUUUACCACGAUGCCACAGCACCAGCCCCCAGAGGUGUUUGUUUGUUUUUUAAACAAACCUCAGGUGAAAAAGUAUUCCCAGAAACCUCUCCAAGUGUCGUUCAGCUGCACGCCUGCAUUUUGCCCCAGUCAUGGUUGCUCCCUGGGGGCUGGUGUAGUGGUGCAGGGCGUUAAGCUGCCCCUUACAGCACCGGCGUCUUGUUCACCAAGUCCUGGCUGCUCUGCUUUGGAUCCAGCUUCCUGCUAAUGUGCCUGGGAAGGCAGCAGAUGAUAGUCCCAAGUAGCUGGGCCCCUGCCACCCAUGGGAGACUCUAACAGAGCUCUUGGCUUCCCUCUGGCCCAGCUCCAGCUUCUGCAACCAUUUGGAGAGGGAACCAGCAAAUGGGAGGUCUCUGUGUUUCUCCCUUUCUGUAUCAAUCUGCCUUCCAAAUAAAUACAUCUUUUUUAAAAAAAAAGAUAUAUUUAUUUAUUUGAAAGUCAGAGUUAACACAGGGAGAGAAGGAGAAGCAGAGAGAAAGAGGUCUUCCAUCUGCUGGUUCACUCCCCAGGUGGCCACAACAGCUGGAGCUGAGCCAGUCUGAAGCCAGGAGCUUCUUCCAGGUCUCCCACAUGGGCACAAGGGCCCAAGCACGUGGGCCAUCUUCUACUGCUUUCCCAGCCAUAGCAGGGAGCUGGAUCGGAAGUGGAGCAGCUGGGACCUGAACCAGUGCCCAUAUAGGAUGCCAGCACUGCAGGAGGUGGCUUUACCCUCUAUGCCACAGCACUGGCAUCAAAUAAAUAAAUCUUUAAAAGGAGAAAGAAAAGAAAAAAUAGAACUGCUCACUUGGAGUUAGGGUUCGGUCUGGGCCCCCCAGAGCUCCUUGCAGAAGCCACGAUCGUACGCUCAGAGGGCGCCACAACCCACAUGAAGAGGCUGUUUGCCGUGCCCAGGCUGAGUUACGGCAGCCAAUGCUUGGGCCGCCUGUUUCUUUCAGGGGACUCCAGGGAGCCAUUUCUCAGUGCAGCUCACGGUAGGCGAUGGCCGUGGCCUUCCGCUCCCCGGGGAGUGCGAGGGAAUUCCCUUGGGAGAAUGCAUUUGCCUACCUGUCAAGGUCUGCACCCUCUCUGACCCUGCCCCAGACCUGUGCCUCUCACCUGAGCGCGGGAGCAGUUUACAGCUGUGCUCACUGUGGGCGCUCCUUGCCUGACCAGAGUGAUCCCUGCAUCUAGGUGCCUGGGUACCUCCAUGCCUGCAGUCGGGGGGUGGCAGAGGGAUGCUAGUGGUGACGUAAAGUUCAGGAACCAAGGUCCCCAGAGGCUGUGUGGUUGAGACCAAGGCAGAUGGGAGCCACAAGCAAGACGGGGAAGAAGAGGUGCUGGGAGCUCACGGCGUCGGCUUUCCAAGAGCAGGGAGCCGGUGGUUAAUUGCAGUGGAGACGGGUUCUGGUUGACAAACAGAAUCUGUAAUGUAGGGACUUACACGGGACCCUGUUACCCAGAAGACUUUCCAAGAAGACUCCCUGCUACAGACCCCGGAGCCAGACACUGUCGCUGACUGGGGCUCAACCUGGCUGGCCUUUUUUUUUUUUUUUUAAUUGAGAUGAUUGACAUAGAAUCAAAUGGAUCCUUUUCAAUUCAGGAUUUUUUUGUACAUCCAUCACCACAGCCAGUCUUAGACUUUUCAUCACCCCCUAAAAAACCCAUACCCAUUAGCGGUCACACCCUCUUUCCUGUCACCCCAACCCUAGUAGCCACGUUCUGUCUCCAUUGGUUUGCUUGUUCCGGAGAAACCAGGAGCCCAGAACUCCACCUGUGGGUGCAGGGCUCCAAGCACUUGGGCCAUCUGCUGCUGCUUUCCCAGGCACACUGGCAGGGAGCUGGGUUGGAAGUGGAGCAGCCAGGACAUGAACCAGUGCCCAUAUGGGAUGUUGGCUUUUCAGGCAGUGACUUUACCCGUUGUGCCACAGUGCCAGCCCUUGGCUUCUUUCUGAGCAUCGUUUUUUAAAAAUUUGUAUGUGUUGUAGUAUACCAGAACUUUAUUCCUUUUUUGGUUUUUAAAGAAUUUAUUUGAAAAGCCGGGAGAGAUUUUUCAUCUCUUGGUUCAUUCCCCAAAUGGCUUCAACGGGCAGGGCUUGGCUGGGCUGGGCUGAAGCCAAGAACCUGGAGCUCCAUCUGGGUCUCCCACAUGAGAGGCAAGGACCUAAGUACUCGAGCCGUCAUCCGUUGCCUUCCCAGCCGCGUUAGCAGGGAGCUAAAUGGGAACGGAGCAGCCAAGACUCAAAAUGGUGCUCCAAUGUGGGCAGCCAGCAUUGCAGGUGGCAACCUGACCACUGCACCACAAUGCCAGCCCCUGCGUCUAACUUUUUAAAAAAGGUAUUUGAGAGAGAGAGAGAGCGCUCCCAUUUGCUGGUUCACUCCUCAAACGCCUUGCAGCAGCCACCUGUCUGGCAGGUGCCCUGUCAUUGUUACUGGGCUCUGUGCCAGGCAUCUUACCUUGUGCUGGGAUUUAACCCCCUGCCUAGUUAGAUACGCUGUAAGGGACUGGAGACCCUCAGAAACCGAAAGGGCUUGGAGUCCUAAGAACCCGGGUGCUCGCGCCCCCUCUGCUGCCUCCCAGUCUGCGUUGGCAGGAGGCUGGACUUGGGUGCCAGGGCUGGGUGUGGAAUCCCGCACUGCAGCGUGGGCUGUGGGUGCCCUGACCUGCGCGUAACCACCAGGCCACCCCCCACCCCUGUGUUUGGCUUGCUCGGCAGGGCAGCUGUGCCAUUUUGCAUUCCCACCGGCCUUGUGUGUGUGUUCCUGUUUCUCCACUUCCGCGCCAGCGCUUGGACUGUCGGCUGUGCUGUUCACAGCCACCCCCGUGGUGUGGAGCAGUUGUGCAUUGAGAUUUGAGCUUCUCCCGUGGCUGAUCACGCUGAGCGUCUUCGUGGCUUACUGGCCAUUUGUCUCCAGCAAAUCCUUCGCGUGUUUUUGCUUUGGGAUGUCUGUCGACUUUGCAUUCAGAGCCUCCCUCGCCCUCGUCCCCGUGGGGUCUGGCAGGUGGACCACAUCUUGCGGCAGGUGCCCUGUCGGUGUCACUGGGGUUUGUGCCCGGCCAGUCUUUAUAUUGGGGUUUAACCAAUGUAAAUAUGCCGUAAGGGAUGUGAGACCCUUAGAAGUGGAAGGGCUUUGUGUCCCAGGUCUUCCCAGGAAGAGGUCCGUUUGUUUUAGAACUGGGAUCCACAGUCGCCCAGGGCAGAGAAGGGGCUGCUAAACAGGUCUUCCCUGACAGUGGGCCAGCCUUCAGCUGCUCACAGCUGCGUGUGCCAGGGACAGUCAGAGUCUUCAGAGGCAGCCACUGUAAUAUCUAUUUUUUAUACAUUAAUCAUUCUUCUUUUUCUGAAUUCUUUCUCUCAUAGAUUAUUUAUUUAAUGGUAAGACAGGAGCCAGGAACUCCAUCUGGGUGUGGGAUACAGUGGUCACAUAACACCCAGGAACUCCAUCUGGGUGAGGGAUACAGUGGUCACAUAACACCUGCUCCCAUAACACCUAUUUAUUUGGGAUCGCUUGUGGUUUGGAUCCUGAUUCUUUUUAUUCAGCAGGAUGAGGAAAUGUUUGUUGACGGAUGGGAACGGGUAACUGAGUCAUUUCUGUAACCAUUUGGCAGGUUGAAAACAGGAUCAUGCUGAAGUGAGUGUGUGUGUCUCUGUGUGUACAUACCCCUGCCUGUGUGUCUGUGUAUAUACAUACCCCUGCCUGUGUGUGUCUCUGUGUGUACAUACCCCUGCCUGUGUGUGUCUCUGUGUACAUACCCCUGCCUGUGUGUGUGUCUGUGUGUGUACAUACCCCUGCCUGUGUGUGUGUCUCUGUGUGUACAUACCCCUGCCUGUGUGUGUGUCUCUGUAUGUACAUACCCCUGCGUGUGUGUGUCUCUGUGUACAUACCCCUGCCUGUGUGUGUCUGUGUGUGUACAUACCCCUGCCUGUGUGUGUCUCUGUGUACAUACCCCUGCCUGUGUGUGUGUCUCUGUGUGUGCACACCCCUGCCUGUGUGUGUCUGUGUGUAUACAUACCCCUUCCUGUGUGCAUACAAGCCCCUGCCUGUGUGUGUGUGUGUGUGUGCAUACCCCUCUUCCUGUGUGCAUACAAGCCCCUGCCUGCUGGUAGGAGGCCCUGACUUUUCCCAGUGAAUCUGGGCUGCUGCCUCCCAGGUCCUCAGUUCGUCAGUAGUGUAGCUGUCUGCACAGUUCGUCAGUAGUGUAGCUGCCUGCUCAGUUCGUCAGUAGUGUAGCUGUCUGCUCAGUUCGUCAGUAGUGUAGCUGCCUGCUCAGGGGCACACGUGCUGCUCUGUAUGCUUGGGACUUUCUUAGUGGUUUUUUGGUAAAGCAGAGAGGCGAGAGGGAGAGAGAUCUGCUGAUUCACUCUCCAGAUGCCUGCAAUAGCAGAGAUGGGCUAGGCUAAAAUCAGGAGCCCAAGCCCCCAUCCAGGUCUCCCACGUGGGUGACAGGGCCCCAAGACUCCAUCCAGGUCUCCUACAUGGGUGACAGGGCCCCAAGACUCCAUGCAGGUCUCCCCCGUGGGUGACAGGGGCCCAAGACUCCAUGCAUGUCUCCCACGUGGGUGACAGGGGCCCAAGACUCCAUGCAUGUCUCCCCCGUGGGUGACAGGGGCCCAAGACUCCAUGCAGGUCUCCCCCGUGGGUGACAGGGGCCCGAGGGCUAGAAUUACCACCUGCUUCUAGGAUGUGCGUUAGUAGGAAGCUGCACUGGAAGUGGAGUAACCAGCGCUCUGAUAUGGAUACUGGUGUCCCAGGCGUCAGCUUAGCCCGCGGCCCCACAGGACCUGGCUCUCAGUGAUGGCUUCAGCACUCAGGGCGUGAUUGAAUGUGUGAGUGUCUAAAAUGUUGCGUAUCCACUGACAACAGUUCUCUUCCACCCGGAGCCUGGCUUUGCCCUGGGUCAUUCUCACUGUCAUACUCAGUCUAUGGAAUUUAACAUUUCUUUGACAUUCAGAACAGAAAGCCAUUUAGAGGAGCAGAUCAGUGACCCUCGUGGUGUCUGAGGAGUUGCUGAUGGAGCCCUGCUUGCUUCUGCACACCCGCGCCCCGGAGCUGAAUCUCAGAAAAGCAGACCCGCGAGAGCCGUCUGAGGGUCUGUUGUCGGCACGGGGUGGGUGAAGCAAACUCAGGAGUUGGAGUUUUGAGUUAGUGAUUUCUGUUUUUGUUGAGUUGUCACCUCGCCUUGAUCGUCAAAUAUGUCCCACUCUUGUGUGUAAAUAGUUUGCAAAAUUAAGAUUAAAAAGCAGUGGUUGGCUGGCGCUGUGGUGUAGCUGGUAAAGCUACCACCUGCAGUGUUGGUUCAAGUCCCAGCUGCUCCACUUCCGAUCCAACUCUCUGCUAUGGCCUGGGAAAACUGUAGAGAGAGCCCAAGUCCUUGGGCCCUACACUCAAGUGGGAGACCCGGAAGAAGCUCCUGGCUCCUGGCUUUGGGUCAGUCCAGCUCCAGCCAUUGUGGCCACUUGGGGAGUGAACCAGUGGGUGGAAGACCUCUCUCUCUCUGCCUCUGCCUCUCUGUAACUCUGCCUUUCAAAUGAAUAAAUCUUUUUUUUUUUUUUUUUUUUAAUCAGUGGUUAGCUUACUUUAGUAAAUAGAGUAGACUGGACACGUCCACUGAUAGCCACUUCCUCCAGAAACCGUGCUAAAAUAAUUUCUUUGUUUAAGAUUUAUUUUACUAGGGCGGGCACUGUGGCGCAGUAGGUUAACACCCUGGCCUGAAAUGCCGGUAUCCCAUAUGGGCACUGGUUCUAGUCCCAGCUGCUCCUCUUCCCAUCCAGCUCUCUGGUAUGGCCUAGGAUGGCAGUAGAAGAUGGCCCAAGUCUUUGGACCCCUGCGCUCACGUGGGAGACCUAGAAGAAGCUCCUGGCUCCUGGCUUCAGAUCGGCGCAGCUUGGGCCGUUGCAGCCGUCUGGGGAGUGAACCAGUAGAUGGAAGACCUCUCUCUCUCUCUCUCUCUCUCUCUCUCUACCUCUCUCUGUAACUCUUUCAAAUAAAUAAAAAAUAAAUCUUUAAAAAAAAGAUUUAUUUUACUUAUUUUGAAAGAGAGGAAGAGACAGAGAGGGUGAGAUUUAUCUUCCAUCAGUUGAUGUGACCCCAGAUGGUCUCAGGAGCCUGGAGCUUCUUCCUGGUCUCCUACGUGGGCAGGGGCCUAAACACUUGGGUCAUCUUCUGCUGCUUUUGCAGGUACAUUAGCAGGGAGCUGGAUCGGAAGUGGAGCAGCUGAGACUUGAACCGGUGCUCAUGUGGGAUGCUGGCAGCAGCUUUACCUGCUAUACCACAAGACUGGCCCCAGGUUUAUACAUUGUAAAAAUUCCUCCACUUUGGGACCAAAAGAGCAUGCUGUUCUCACUUGCUCGCUCGCUCUCUCUCUUUCAAGUAAGAAAAUAAGUAUUUUUUUUUUUUAAGUAUAAACCCACAGGAUAAAGAAGGAAAAAGAAAGUGAUAACAGAGAAGGGAUCUCAAAUAUUGGGAAGACGGAGAAAGGCGAAUGGAAGAGCAAGUAGAUAAAGCAAAAAUGCUGACAGUGGUAGAGGCAGUGAGAGGGGCUUCAGCUUCAGAGAGCCUCAGGCAUCAAAUGCACCUGCAGUCACCCAGAGUGGGAGUGAGAGGUGGGCCUGAGACAGGGGAGGCACAAGUGACUGCACCAGGUUCGGGACGCACCUGCGUAGCAUCCAGCCAUGCCUCACGGCGAACGCCGGCUUCUGCCCAGCUGACCCUCGCUCACCUUCACAAAGCGUCGGUCGUCUUUCGUCUUUCCAUUGCCUCGUUCACAGGGACGCCCGCUAUGCUGCCCUGGUUGCCCCUUAUGCGGUCCUGGAAGGUGUCAGAUCUGGAAGCUGACACUGGCAGAGCAGGUGGUGUGCAGCGCCACGUCCCCGUGACCACCGCAGCGUUCCAGACACGGGACUCAGCGCUCCAUUGCCUCCCUUCUACACAGGAAUGGACAUCCAGAAAGCUCCCAUGUGAAAGGCGGGGCCAGACCAAGUGAAAAGGAAACCAUCUCAGGAAACGCUCGCAACAUGGUGAAGAGACUUGGAAGAAUAAGAGCCAGUGUUCUAGAAAUUGUUUUCUUUAUUUGAGAGACAGACCAGACAGAGAGGAGCUCCCACUGCCAGGAGCCAGGACCUCAACCCAGGUCUCCCCUGUGGGUGACAGGGGCCCAGCUGCUUCCUAAGGUGCACGCUGGCGGGAGGCUGGGGUCAGGAUUGGAGCUGGGCGCUUAACUGGGGCGUGAACCCAGGCACUCUGACACAGGAUGCGGCCGGCUUAGCCACCAGGCCAAACAUCCGCCCAAGAGCCAGUAUUGUAUUCAUGAAUUUUUUUAAAGGGAAUUGUCAAAAUAAACAGGAGAGGCUUCUUGGAAAUUGCAAAUAUAUUUUUAAAAAAGAGUUGACAGAGGCUCCCAGGAAAUGGAAAGGUACUUCAAAAAGUUUGUGGGGGCCGGUGCUGUGGCACACUGAGCUAAGCCUCUGCCUGCAGUGCCAGCAUCCCUUAUGGGAUCCUGGCUGCUUCUCUUCUGAUCCAGCUCUCUGCUACGGCCUGGGAGAGCAGCGGAAGAUGACCCAAGUGCCUGGGCCCCUGCACCCACGUGGGAGACCCAGAGGAAGCUCCUGGCUCCUGGCUUUGGAUUGGUCCAGCUCCAGCCACUGCAGCCAUUUGAGGAAUGAACCAGCAGAUGGAAGAUCUUUCUCUCUGUAACUCUCUCUCUCAAAUAAAUAAAUAAAAUCUUAAAAAAAAAAGUUUAUGGAAAAUGGAAUCCAAAGAUACGUUUAUUUUAGUACAAAAGAAAAUUUGAAAGCCAUAUAGUAUUUCAUAAUAAAACAGGUUUUCCACAAACUUUGAAGACCCUUUAUCUGUAACAUUAAAAAUCUGGCAUCUGUGAAGGAGAGGGGAGAAUCCGGGACGGGAAAUUGCAGCCACGUGGACGCUUCCAGAACUGUCAGCCGUGGGGUCACGGUGGCGAGUGGGAAGCAGGCUAACUGUCGCGCUCUGUGAUCCCAGAACACGGAGAGGGCAAAGCUUUCAGAGAGAACGGGUCGCGCCAAAGGCCGAGAGUGAAGAAGCUAAAGGCAAUGAUUCCUGUUUCGGUAACUGGGUAGUGGAGCUAAAGUAGAACCACUCCUGCUUCAGUUCCUUAGCGGUGCGGCUCUCUGCGGAUAUAAUGGAGAUUUGAAGUGCAUAGCUGAGCGUAUAGGAAAGAAAAGGGUAACAAAGAAUUAAAGCAGGAACUUACAGCCAAAGGGAGAGGCAGGCAGCUCUCAGGGUGUUUACUGGACUCUGUGGUCGGCCCUAACAAGAGUGGAGGAUUGUAAUUUUUUGAAGAAAAUAUUUAUUUAUUUGAAAGCCAAGAGUUACAGAGAGAGUGAGCGAGCUUGCAUUUGCUGGUUCACUCCCCAGAUGGCCACAAUGGCUGGGGCUGGGCCAGGCUGAAGCCAGGAGCCGGGAGCUGCUCCUGGGUCUCCCACGUGGGUGCAGGGGCCCAAGGACUUGGGCAUCUUCUGCUGCUUUCCCAGGACACAGCAGAGAGCUGGAUCGGAAGUGGAGCAGCUGAGACACAAACCAGUACCCACAUGGGAUGCCUGCGCUGCAGGAGGCAGCUUUACCUACUAUGCCACACACUGGCCCUGGAGGAUUUUUUUUUUUAAGAUUUAUUUAUUUGAAAGUCAAAGUUACAGAGAGAAGGAAAGGGAGAGAGAGAUCUUCCAUCUGCUGGUUCACUCCCCAGAUGGCUGCAGUGGCCAGUUCUGGGUCAGGCUGAAGCCAGGAGCCAGGAGCUUCUUCUGGGUCUCCCACGUGGGUGCUGGGGCCCAAACACUUGGGCCAUCUUCUGCUGCUUUCCCAGGCCAUAGCUGAGAGCUGGAUCUGAAGUGGAGCAGCCGGGACUCAAAUUGGCGCCCAUCUGGGAUUCCAGCGACACAGGCGCCUGCCUCACCCGCUGUGCCUGAGCCAGCCCCUACAGGUCUGUGUUUUAAUGGACAUGGAUGAAGUGUAAUCCCCUCAGAGGAUCAUUCCCACGAAAAGGAGAAUCAAGAUCUCCCGCAAGGGGCCAGCAGCAUGGCACAGGGGAUUGUUGGCGCCUGCCGGAGGCAGCGUUGGUGUGAUGGAGACAGCCGAGCUGUGAGGCUUCCGAGUGUCGCAGCAGCAUGCUAGGGAUGCCUGGAGCUCUUGCAUGAGUAAAGCCUGCUCCGUGCAGGCCACUCGGAAUUCUGUGAUUCCACGGAGGACUAGCUGCUUCCAGGAAGUCACCAGACGGUCGAAAUCUCGAGCAUGAGUCAGCAGGCGUGACAUACGGGGAGGUUUCCAGCAAGGCGCCUCAGAGAACAGAGGAGAUCGCACUACAAAUAUUUAAGGUGACUGAAGGGCUAAAAGCAAGAAUUGAAUCAAAGGAAAGAGCAAGACACAGCUCCCUGAGGGUGUCUUGGGAGUGGGCCUGUGUGGCCUAGCACGGAAGGCACCGGAUCCCAAGUCAGAGUGCCCGGCUCAAUGCUGGACUCUGGCCUGGACCCUAGCUUCUUGCUCAGGCAGACCCUGGGAGGGAGACAGGCUCAGAGCCGUCCCUGCUUCCCCCGCCCAGCCCUGGGCACUGGGGGCCUUUGGGGACUGAGCCGUGGCUGGGAGCUCUGCCUGCCUUUCUCUUUCUCUCACAAACUCUAAUCACUGAGAAAAAGCCCAGUGGAGGGGCGGUCAUUGUGCAGAGGUCCUGCUGCUGUGUGGGAGCCUGCAGCCACCUAAGGGCCUAGGCGGGACUCCCAGCUUCGCGUCCAGUCCAGCUCCCUGCUGAAGUCACCCUCCAAGGCACAGGUGAUGGGUCAAGUGCUUGGGUCCAUGACACCCGGGUGGGUGGAGUUUUAGGCUCCUGGCCUCGGCCCGGCCUAGCCCUGGCUAUUUGGGCAUUUGGGGAGUGAACCAAUGAAUGGAAACUCACUUGCUCACUCCUCUCUCUCUCUCUCUCUCUCUCUGCCUCUCAAAUACAACUUUCUCUUAAAAAAAAAAAAAAAAAAAGAA